UGAAACAAAGGAAAUCCUCAUUAGAAAAUGAACUCUGCCAGCUCUGGCGAGUCAUUCUGUUAAAAAUUACCAGCUAGUCCUGCACGCUCCACAAAUGCAGGCUUACCCGUCGGACUGCGGCACAUGAUAACAGGGGUACAGGAUCCCUGGCUGUCGACGUUCAGCGCAGGGCUGAAGGCAGAGGAAGAAGCUGUGGAUGGAUGGAUGGUCUGAGGGAAGGAGAGAAAGCGGGAGGACGGAAAGUUCUUCCAGAGCUUCUGUUUCUCCCGUGGUGCUGCUGAAGCUGCUGGUGCUAGACGAAGAACGGGAGAUGUUCUGCCUGCCGCUGCUGCUGCACUCCUUCAGUUUGACAAAUGGCCUGUUGAGAAGGAAAGAGGGAUAAGCUGAAAUGUGUGUAGUGAUGUCAAAUAAUAAUAAUAAUAAUAAUAAUAAAAACACCAACUUUAAUAUAGUAUUAAAGUGUUCUUUGGAAAAUUUAA